CACGAACCGGACAAACGUUAUUCGGAAUCACUGGGCUUAAAGAGUGCGUAGGCGGUCUGGCAGGUUGGGUGUGAAAUCCCUCGGCUCAACCGAGGAACUGCGCUCAAAACCGCUGGGCUGGAGGGAGACAGGGGUGAGCGGAACUGAUGGUGGAGCGGUGAAAUGCAUUGAUAUCAUCAGGAACACCGGUGGCGAAGGCGGCUCACUGGGUCUCUUCUGACGCUGAGGCACGAAAGCUAGGGUAGCGAACGGG
rnacentral:misc_RNA from 1 species